rnacentral:rRNA from 1 species
UUAAGCUACUAAGGGCACAUGAUGAAUGUCUUGGCACUGACAGGCGAAGAAGGACGUGGCAAGCUGCGAAAAGCUUCGGGGAGUCGCACACAGACUUUGAUCCGGAGAUAUCCGAAUGGGGCAACCCGGCACCGGUAAUGCGGUGUCACCUGUCGCUGAAUAAAUAGGCGGCAGGAGCGAUACGUAGGGAAGUGAAACAUCUCAGUACCUACAGGAAAAGAAAUCAACCGAUAUUCCGCUAGUAGUGGCGAGCGAACGCGGAAAAGCCUAAACCAGAGGGUUUACUCUCUGGGGUUGCGGGACUUUAAUAUGGUACGGUAAACGGUUAGCAGAACGUUCUGGAAAGGACGGCGAUACAGGGUGACAGCCCCGUAAGCGAAAACCGUUUCCGAUCUAUAAGUAUCCCAAGUAGGGCGGUGCACGUGAAACUCCGUCUGAAUCUGGGGGGACCACCCUCCAAGGCUAAAUACUAGUCAGUGACCGAUAGUGAACAAGUACCGUGAGGGAAAGGUGAAAAAGAACCCCGGGAGGGAAGUUAAAAGAACCUGAAAUCAUGUGUCUACAAAGUGUGGGAGCGAAAGCGACCGCAUGCCUUUUGCAUAAUGAGUCUGCGAGUUACUCUAUACAGCAAGGUUAAGUCAAGGACGUAGCCGAAGCGAAAGCGAGUGUGAAUAGCGCGUCAAGUUGUAUGGAGUAGACCCGAAACUGGGUGAUCUAUCCAUGGCCAGGUUGAACCUCCGGUAACACGGAGUGGAGGACCGAACCAGUUCAUGUUGAAAAAUGUUUGGAUGAGCUGUGGAUAGGGGUGAAAGGCCAAUCAAACCCAGUGAUAGCUGGUUCUCUUCGAAAUAGCUUGAGGGCUAGCCUCGUGUUUAAUUAGUACGUGGGGGUAGAGCACUGAAUGUUAGCGGGCCCAUACCAGGGUACCAAAAACUAUCAAACUCCGAAUACCAUGUACCGUAUCACGGGAGUCAGACUGUGGGGGAUAAGCUUCAUAGUCAAAAGGGCGACAGCCCAGACCGCCGGCUAAGGUCCCUAAUCUGAACUGAGUGGAAUGAAGGAUGUAGAGCUGCGUAAACAACCAGGAUGUUGGCUUAGAGGCAGCCAUCAUUUAAAGAGUGCGUAAUAGCUCACUGGUCUAGUGGUUCCGCGCCGAAGAUGAUCGGGACUAAGUUCAGAACCGAAGCCGCGGAUUCCUCGUUAAGAGGAAUGGUAGAAGAGCGUUGUAUACGGAUUGAAGCCGAUAAGUGAUUGGAGGUGGACUGUAUACAAGUGACCAUGCAGACAUGAGUAGCGAAAAACCAGAUGAGAAUUCUGGUCACCGAAAACCCAAGGUUUCCUGGGGCAGGUUCGUCCGCCCAGGGUUAGUCGGAUCCUAAGGCGAGGCCGAAAGGCGUAGUCGAUGGACAACAGGUUAAUAUUCCUGUACCACCUUGUGUGAGUGAUGGAGGGACGCAGAAAGCUAGAUGAGCCGGCUGCUGAAUAUGCCGGUCGAAGAUCGUAGGGCGCGCUGUAGGCAAAUCCGCAGCGCAUACGCCUGAGAAUUGACAGGCUCUUGAACUUCGGUUCAGGAGAAUCAUCGAUGCUACACUGACGAGAAAAGCUCCUAAACGUCGAUCACAGGGUGUCCGUACCGUAAACCGACACAGGUGGGUGAGGCGAGAAGCCUAAGGUGCGCGAGAGUAACCACGUUAAGGAACUCGGCAAAUUAGCCCCGUAACUUCGGAAGAAGGGGUGCCGCCAUUACGUAAAGGGAUUUACUCCCCGAGCGGAAGGCGGUUGCAACAAAGAGGCUGGUGCGACUGUUUAACAAAAACACAGCUCUCUGCUAACUCGUAAGAGGAUGUAUAGGGAGUGACACGUGACCAAUGCCAAAAGGUCAAUGUAAGGUGUUAGCCGCAAGGCGAAGCUCCGAACUGAAGCCCUGGUGAAUGUCGGCCGUAACUAUAACGGUCCUAAGGUAGCGAAAUUCCUUGUCGGGU